rnacentral:rRNA from 1 species
CAGCAGCCGCGGGAACACGGAGGAUCCGAGCGUUAUCCUGAUUUAUUGGGUUUAAAGGGUGCGUAGGUGGCCUGUUAAGUCAGGGGUGAAAGACGGUAGCUCAACUAUCGCAGUGCCCUUGAUACUGACGGGCUUGAAUGGACUAGAGGUAGGCGGAAUGUGACAAGUAGCGGUGAAAUGCAUAGAUAUGUCACAGAACACCAAUUGCGAAGGCAGCUUACUAUGGUUUGAUUGACACUGAGGCACGAAAGCGUGGGGAUCAAACAGGAUUAGAUACCCCAGUAGUCCCUGUCUCUUAUAA